UGAUUUUUUGUUAAUAUACAUGUAAUUUUAUGACUACUGUUUAAUAAUCUCACACUAAUGUAUUGUAAGAAUCCUCUGAAAUUUAUUUAAUGGUACCUUCACCCUGCUGCAUGUUAGAUCAGCUCUGUGUUUUAUUGUUUGAUUUCAGCACUUCUGGGGACCAGUUAUUAAUUGGGGUCUUCCCCUAGUCGCAGUCAGCGAUAUGAGGAAGAGCCCCGACAUCAUCAGCGGUCGAAUGACCUUCGCUCUUACCUGUUACUCAAUGAUAUUUAUGAGGUUCUCAUACCGAGUCCAGCCCCGAAACUGGCUCCUUUUUUCUUGCCACAUGGCCAAUGUGACGGCACAAGUGAUCCAGGGAGGCCGGCUCAUCCGACACAAAAUGCAGAACAAAAAUGCGAAAUGAGCCUUUGCAUGCAGUAGAUCAGAGCACAGACGGGUUCGUGCAGAUAAAGGCAAAUUGAGGAAGAUCUCUACCAGAUCCAUGCAUCAGAUCAGGAGAGCAGCUGCUAAAAUGCCAUUAUGUAGCAGCAAACAGAUAUUUGAAGCUGCUGGUGCCUCUGGAGUCCCAUGGACAUCAAGGUGUAGAGUCCUCCACUGCAACUGUGCAUAAACCUUCUAUUCUGCCGCCACUAACCAGUGCUCACAAGCAGAAACUGUCCAAAUACACAAGUUCAAUGGAUGCAAGACUUGUGAAGCUGCUAUCAAAUAAGGAGUCCUAUGUCAAAAUGUGACGUGACCUGUUUGAUUUCAGUACAUAUGUUGCAAACACA